UACAGAGACUGCGAGCGUUAUUCGGAUUCACUGGGCGUAAAGGGUGCGCAGGCGGUCGUGUGUGUGAGGCGUGAAAGCCCGGGGCUUAACCCCGGAAUUGCAGCUCAAACUACACGGCUAGAGCAUUGGAGAGGGUAGCGGAAUUCACGGUGUAGCAGUGAAAUGCGUAGAUAUCGUGAGGAACACCAGAGGCGAAGGCGGCUACCUGGACAAUUGCUGACGCUCAGGCACGAAAGCGUGGGGAGCAAAAGGG
rnacentral:rRNA from 1 species